rnacentral:rRNA from 1 species
AUGAACGCUGGCGGCGUGCCUAAUACAUGCAAGUCGAGCGAACGGACUAGAAGCUUGCUUCUCUGAUGUUAGCGGCGGACGGGUGAGUAACACGUGGAUAACCUACCUAUAAGACUGGGAUAACUUCGGGAAACCGUAGCUAAUACCGGAUAAUAUUUUGAACCGCAUGGUUCAAAAGUGAAAGACGGUCUUGCUGUCACUUAUAGAUGGAUCCGCGCUGCAUUAGCUAGUUGGUAAGGUAACGGCUUACCAAGGCAACGAUGCAUAGCCGACCUGAGAGGGUGAUCGGCCACACUGGAACUGAGACACGGUCCAGACUCCUACGGGAGGCAGCAGUAGGGAAUCUUCCGCAAUGGGCGAAAGCCUGACGGAGCAACGCCGCGUGAGUGAUGAAGGUCUUCGGAUCGUAAAACUCUGUUAUUAGGGAAGAACAUAUGUGUAAGUAACUGUGCACAUCUUGACGGUACCUAAUCAGAAAGCCACGGCUAACUACGUG